AAAUGGCGCCCGUUUGCUCUAUAUUUCCUUCUCUCUCUCUCUCUCUAUAAGUAUAUAUACAAAACGCAAAAUGCAACUCUGCCAGUCGUUCUGCUUGCGCCUCCUCACCGCCAAAAGCAACUCUCUCUUGCACCUUUCUUUAUCAUUCGAAUAUGGCAAUGAAACUGCCUAACCGCCAGAGAUUACUUAUUGCAACCCGAUUCUCCCCAGAACAGAAUUUGCUCUUGAAGGGGCCGGAAGGUGAUGAUUGCUCUCUCUUUAUCUCAUGAUGUCAGUGCGUUCAGAAGCUGUGACUCUGCAACACCUUUGUCGGGCGAAGCGUCUCCUUCGAGUAAAUCUCUACCUAUUUGCUGUUCAUCCCGACUUGCUCAUUCCAAAGAUUUCUACGUUCUGUUCUGCUUUGGGGUUCAAAACCAAAGGAUCGAGUGAUCAUUUCAUAUCUUCUUCUUCGUCGCCGGAAUAUAGGUCUCAGCGAUAGCUCCAGCUCGGUUUAUGCAUGCCAUGUGUUUGAUGAAACUCCUAUUCCAAAUUUCAAGGCAUGUGCAUUUCCACUGGACAGCUCCUUUUAUUGGGGUCUGCUCAAUGUGAUUCUAAUAUUAACGUUCAUAAGCACAAGCUAUGAUAUUGAUGAUAUUUUGGCGGCUAAUUCUGUUGCCUCAUCGUGCUUUGUUUAUGUAGACGAUAUUGAGGUUGAAUUGCUGGAUUUGAAGGGUUGCACUGCCCUGGUUUAAUGGUUUUAGUGUUGCAGAUAGGAAAAGGAAGGAGCAGAAAGGAGGAAAAAAUUUCCGGAGAGGUUGGUGAAGGCCUUCAACUAUAAUAAAUUUUUAAAAUUACUGGAACAUCAGUUUGUUGGUCUUCAAACUAAAUUGCAUUUCAUGGACGGUUAGGUAAGUGUUCUUAAAUUUAAUCUCAUGCUUUCCCCUAAUUUUACUUACUAUAUAAUUUUACUUAUUAUAUUACAUUUCAAUUACUUACUAAUGUCAAUUGAGAAUUAUAUAUGAUAGUCAUACAAUUAUUUUUUUUUCUAACUAUUUGUGUGUUCAGAUUUCUCUUCAGCAGCAUAUAAAUUGAAUUUAUCUAAAUUGUCAACUCUCCUUUCGUCUGAUCAUCAUUAAUCAGUAUGUAUUUUUCUUACUCCUUCAUUGAUUUACUUAUAGAAGCAAGACGUAAGUAGUUAAUAUCUUAACUAGAGGAUCAUUCCAGCCUCUCUUUUCAGGCAAUCCUUUCACUAUUUCUCUUAAUUUUGGUUUUUUGCUCAUGUAUGGACUGAGUGGGUUAGGAGAAGGGUGGCAUUAACCGUGCACAAGCUGUUAACUUGGUUGUUUCAUACAUAAUGCGAAUAUGAUUUCUGUAGUUCAUUCCGUGACUAAUUAUAUGUACUACGGCGCUUAAUUCUCAUAAAAAGGAAUUGGCAGCUCAAAGCAAUUCUUUUGGUUCUUUUUUUACUAUUCAGACGGUCAUUAAUUUAUUUAUUGGGCUUAUCAAUUAUCUAACUGUUUCAUCCCUUUUAUAGCUCUGAACCAUAUGGAAAAUUAUAGAGGAUAUUUAAAAUGGAUGAUCAAAUAGCUCUGGGUGUUUCACACUGAGUGUAAGUUGUUUCCAAUUAAUUAAUGGAUAGUUUUGGAUCUUACUUUGGACAAUUUCCAAGGAGAUUGAGCAUGAAAGAUGCCGCCCAACAAUUGAAUUAGCUGUUCAAAUCAAUAAUUGUAGGUCUUCUUAACUGUUCAUUUAUUGACAUAUUAAUCUUAUGGAACUCAUCAUUUUACUCUUACAGUUUCUAGCCCGUGCCACAGUCAAUUGACUGUAAAUAGCAGCACCUCGACUUUCGAGAGGCAGUCUCUCAAUUUUAUGGUUGCAAGCCUAACUGCUUAUGGGCAAGGAGCGAGUGGGGAUGAUUUUGAUAUGUGCUACCACCAAAUAGGGCAUUUAGCAAGAGACUGCCUAGGACUCAAAUCUGUCCGUCCUGCUUAUGGAGAGAGGUAUGGGAUGGUUCCUAGGUAAAACAUUUUGCAACGCCUGCUUCUGAAAUAUUUGUCCUGAUUUUUGGGUACAUUGGCUCCUCAUUUUGUAAUUACUAAUCAUCUCGCAGAGUCUUUUUUUUUUCGAUGUGAGCAGUGGUAUUCAGAAGUCUAAUUGGGCCCCGACUAAUUCAGUUGAGCCGAGUCGGCCCACUAAGGGUAAAGAUCUUCCAGCAUAGAUUUUUUGCAUUCACAAGAAAUUGAACCUGAGAUCUUGCUCAAGCGGAACAAGCUCAAACCGCUUAAACCAACCCACGUUGAUGGCAGUUUGUCUUUGUUUGGAGCUUUGUCUUGAUAGAUAUGUAAGCUUUUGGAACCUUUAUGUGUAAAUUUUUAAUAUUGACCAAAAUAUCGUAUUUUCUCAAUUGAGUGAGUUUUGAUAUGUAAGGAUGAUGUCUGAAGUACAAGUAAGCAAGGCACUUCUGUCUUUAUACUUGGAUCGAGGUAUACUAUUCUUAAUUUCUAUUGUUUUCUACUACUUGUCACCCAUAAACUGAUGGUCAAAUUGAAGUAGUAAAUAGGACUUUGUCUACUUUAUUGAGGGCAAUCAUUAAAAAGAACAUCAAAAUAUAUGAAGAGUGUUUAUCACAUGUUGAGUUUGCUUAUAACAUAUCUGUUCAUUCUGCUACUAAAUUUUCACCUUUUGAAAUUGUUUAUGGAUUUAAUCCUUUAACUCCAUUCGAUUUAUCUCAUUUACCUUUAACUGAGUAUGUUAAUUUGGAUGGUAAAAAGAAAGCUAAAUUUGUCAAGCAGAUUUAUGAGAAAGCAAGACUCAAUAUUGAGCGAAGAACGGAGCAGUAUGCAAAACACGCCAACAAGGGGCAUCAUAAGCUGAUUUUCGAACCCGGAGAUUGAGUUUAGUUGCAUAUGAGGAAAGAGCGAUUUCCGGCGCAAAGACGUUCCAAAUUGCUUCCGAGAAGGGAUGGUCUCCAAGAAGGGAUGGUCCAUUUCAAGUCCUAGAGCGCAUCAAUGACAACAUUUACAAACUAAAUUUACCUGAUGAGUACAAUGUAAGUGCUACUUUUAAUGUUGCUGAUUUGAUUCCUUUUGAUGUAGGUGAUGAUUUGAUGACAAAUCCUUUUCAAGAGGAGGGGAAUGAUGCAAAUCGUAGCACGAUUUUAAGGGAUCCAGUUCAAGUUCCAAUUGGACCGAUUAUGUGAGCACAAGUAAAGAACUUUAAAGAUGAACUCAACGAUCUGAUUCAAGAGGUUUGAGCUCAAGCAAAUUCGUGGAGGCCCAUUGGACAUGAACCACGUGAUCAACAAAGAUUCAUUAACAUGAUUCAAGUUAUAGAAGAUUCCGGACAAGGCUAAAAUCAGCAAGUGUUUGAGGAAACUUCUAGAAUAUUUGAUGAUCAAUAUUUGCAACGCCUGCUACCGAAAUAUUUGUCCUGAUUUUUGGGUACAUUGGUUCCUCAUUUUGUAAUUACUAAUCAUCUCGCAGUUCGUCUUUUUUU